rnacentral:rRNA from 1 species
CGAUGAAGGUUUUCGGAUCGUAAAGUGCUUUCAACUGGGAAGAAAAAGAUGACGGUACCAGUANAAGAAGCAACGGCUAAAUACGUGCCAGCAGCCGCGGUAAUACGUAUGUCGCAAGCGUUAUCCGGAAUUAUUGGGCGUAAAGCGCGUCUAGGCGGUCUUUUAAGUCUGAUGUUAAAAUGCGGGGCUCAACUCCGUAUUGCGUUGGAAACUGGAAGACUAGAGUAUCAGAGAGGUGGGCGGAACUACAAAUGUAGAGGUGAAAUUCGUAGAUAUUUGUAGGAAUGCCGAUUGGGAAGCCAGCUCACUGGAUGAAUACUGACGCUGAAGCGCGAAAGCGUGGGGAGCAAACCGGAUUAGAUACCCGGGUAGUCCACGCCGUAAACGAUGAUCACUAAGGUGUGGGGGGUCGAACCUCCGUGCUCAAGCUAACGC